rnacentral:rRNA from 1 species
GAAAGCGUGGGGAGCAAAUAGGAUUAGAUACCCUAGUAGUCCACGCCGUAAACGAUGAGAACUAAGUGUUGGAGGAAUUCAGUGCUGCAGUUAACGCAAUAAGUUCUCCGCCUGGGGAGUAUGCACGCAAGUGUGAAACUCAAAGGAAUUGACGGGGGCCCGCACAAGCGGUGGAGUAUGUGGUUUAAUUCGAAGCAACGCGAAGAACCUUACCAGGGCUUGACAUCCCACUAACGAAGCAGAGAUGCAUUAGGUGCCCUUCGGGGAAAGUGGAGACAGGUGGUGCAUGGUUGUCGUCAGCUCGUGUCGUGAGAUGUUGGGUUAAGUCCCGCAACGAGCGCAACCCUUGUCGCAUGUUACCAGCAUCAAGUUGGGGACUCAUGCGAGACUGCCGGUGACAAACCGGAGGAAGGUGGGGAUGACGUCAAAUCAUCAUGCCCCUUAUGGCCUGGGCUACACACGUACUACAAUGGCGACCACAAAGAGCAGCGACACAGUGAUGUGAAGCGAAUCUCAUAAAGGUCGUCUCAGUUCGGAUUGAAGUCUGCAACUCGACUUCAUGAAGUCGGAAUCGCUAGUAAUCGCAGAUCAGCAUGCUGCGGUGAAUACGUUCUCGGGCCUUGUACACACCGCCCGUCAAACCAUGGGAGUCAGUAAUACCCGAAGCCGGUGGCAUAACCGUAAGGAGUGAGCCGUCGAAGGUAGGACCGAUGACUGGGGUUAAGUCGUAACAAGGUAUCCCUACGGGAACGUGGGGAUG